GAUGAACGCUAGCGGCAGGCUUAAUACAUGCAAGUCGAGGGACAGCACAGGUAGCAAUACUGGGUGGUAACCGGCAAACGGGUGCGGAACACAUACACAACCUUCCUUUAAGUGGGGGAUAGCCCAGAGAAAUUUGGAUUAAUACCCCGUAAUAUAGUUGAAUAGCAUCAUUUGAUUAUUAUAGCUACGGCGCUUAAUGAUGGGUGUGCGGCUGAUUAGAUAGUUGGCGGGGUAACGGCCCACCAAGUCUACGAUCAGUAGCUGAUGUGAGAGCAUGAUCAGCCACACGGGCACUGAGACACGGGCCCGACUCCUACGGGAGGCAGCAGUAAGGAAUAUUGGUCAAUGGACGCAAGUCUGAACCAGCCAUGCUGCGUGAAGGAUUAAGGUCCUCUGGAUUGUAAACUUCUUUUAUUUGGGACGAAAAAGGGCCUUUCUAGGUCAACUGACGGUACCAGAUGAAUAAGCACCGGCUAACUCCGUGCCAGCCGCCGCCGUAACAC
rnacentral:rRNA from 1 species